rnacentral:rRNA from 1 species
GGGGCGCAAGCCUGAUGCAGCCAUGCCGCGUGUGUGAAGAAGGCCUUCGGGUUGUAAAGCACUUUCAGUUGUGAGGAAGGUGGUGUCGUUAAUAGCGGCAUCAUUUGACGUUAGCAACAGAAGAAGCACCGGCUAACUCCGUGCCAGCAGCCGCGGUAAUACGGAGGGUGCGAGCGUUAAUCGGAAUUACUGGGCGUAAAGCGCAUGCAGGUGGUUUGUUAAGUCAGAUGUGAAAGCCCGGGGCUCAACCUCGGAACUGCAUUUGAAACUGGCAGACUAGAGUACUGUAGAGGGGGUAGAAUUUCAGGUGUAGCGGUGAAAUGCGUAGAGAUCUGAAGGAAUACCGGUGGCGAAGGCGGCCCCCCUGGACAGAUACUGACACUCAGAUGCGAAAGCGUGGGGAGCAAACAGGAUUAGAUACCCUGGUAG